AGACUUAUUAAAUUUAUUUCAUGUCAUUGUGGUCACUUUUACAGCUGUUUAGACUUAUUUUCAAUCACAUUACUCUUCACAGAAUUCACAGAAUUCAUUAACUAACUAGUAUGUUACAUCCAAGGGUUCUUAGUAGCACAUUGAAAUAGAAAAGAGGCCCACGAGUUGUUGCUUGUGUGUGGAACCUGAGUCUGAUUACUUAGACAGAUGUCUAGAACAUUAUUGCUUUAUUAGGCCUAUUUUUAAAAAUAAUAAAUUAUUCCUAGGAAACCCACCCUGCCAGGUGCUCAUUCUGCGACUGCUGUGGGUUCACUCAGAACAUACCUGACUGGUGGGUGCUGAAUGAACCUCCCACCCAUGUACCCUGCUGCUCCGGACGCUCUGAGGGCUAGAGCAAUGCCCCUCCAUGCGUGUAAACAUUUUCUACAGCUUGCCACUUUCCUCCCUGGUCUUGCAGCCAAUGGGCUGCAGUCAUACAUGGGUCUCUAUGUAAAACUUAAAUUAGACCUAAACAACAGGGUUCAGCGAAUGAGGACUAAUGCUGUGUGCAGAAUGCAGGCUGCAGUCGGGGCCUCAGUCCAGCUUCUUGUUGUUGUCUGUGUUGUGCACAGAAGCUAAAAAGUCGAUUAUGAGCUUGGCUGUCUUCCUGGGUCUUUCCAUCACUACUGAGUGCCCACAGUUUUCCAGAAGCUCCACCUGGCAGUUGGCAAUUGACUUGGCCAACAUGUCUGCCCCAGACACAUCCAGCACCUGCUGGGCAAGAAAGGGAGCUGGAUGAUACACAAAGAUUCAGACACCCACGUGUGCACUCUGUGGACAGAACUUCCACCAAGGCCUGGCAGGGGUCAGUGGGGCAGGAGGAUGUGAAUUUUAGGACCAAGUCCCUUUGGUGUUGGGGCUUGUGGCUGUCUGAAUGGAAGUAACCAUGAUGCCUCCUGUUUUAUUCUGCAACUCUGUGCCAGGAGUUGGGCUGAUGUCAGCAAUACUGAGGUAGAAAACAAACGUUCCUUGCCCUUGAGGAGGUUAUGGUAUGGUGGGGAAGUCAGAGAGCACAGGGGAUGAGCAGGGUCGAGGGAAGACCUCGUUCCUGAGUCCCGGGAGAGCAGAAAGGGGACAGGGGAGGAGCAUUCACGGAUGUGGGAAUGGCACAGGGUGGGAGAUCAUGGCGAGUGCAGGGGCCACCAAGGAGCACGGCGGCUGAGACACCAAGCACAUGGGCAGUGGGGGUGGCAUGGUGGGGAGAAGGGGCAGAGAGGAGGGCGCUGCUCCUACAGCCACACGGACCAUGGGGAACCACAGGCUGUGUUAAGGUGAGUGACUUGAUCAGGCUGGCCCUGUGGCUGGUUAGGGCAGCCCAAGCUGUAGGAAGGAUGCAAGAGGGGAAGGCUAAUUAUCACAAGCUGGGGGUAUCUCUUUAUUUGUUGAAAAGGAGUUUCACUCUUUCGCCCAGGCUGGAAUGAAGUGGCGUGAUCUCAACUCACUGCAACCUCCGCCUCCCAGGUUCAAGUGAUCUUCUGCCUCAGCCUCCCCAGUAGCUGGGAUUAUAGGUGCCCGCCACCAUGCCCAGCUAAUUUUUGUAUUUCUAGUAGAGAUGGGGUUUCACCACGUUGGCCAGGCUGGUCUCGAACUCCUGACCUCAGGUGAUCCACCUGCCUCAGCCUCCCAAAGUGCUAGGAUUACAGGCCUGAGCCACCGCACCCAGCUGGAGGUCUCUUUGAAGGUCCUCUGGGGAUCCCCAGAGCUGUGUGUUUCUUGGCUCUAACCUCUGCAGAUAUGGGGAAUGCUUUUCCAACAUGAAAGCCAGAACUUUUCCAGGGCUGAUCCUUUUCAAACAACUCAUUUCCUCUCCUUUUCCUCUGGGUUCCCAGCUACUAUGCCAAUCCACCUCCAUCUUUUUCCCCAACAUCCUCCCUCAGAAGUGGAUCCGCAUUCACUCCCCUUCUCUUAGCUGCCUUUACCUUCAAUUCAUCCUAGACAAGAGGGCCCCUCCUCCCCAUCCUUAACGGCAAAAGCAAAAGCCCCAACAAACUCAAGCACCUUCUGUGUCUUUGCUCUAUUCUCACCAACUCAAAU
rnacentral:lncRNA from 1 species